rnacentral:antisense_RNA from 1 species
CUUGACCGAGCCCAGCCACAGCGGGCUGUCGCCGGGCCGGUCCUGCCCGUAGACCGACAGCAGUGCGCGCGCCUC